rnacentral:tRNA from 1 species
GGAAGCGAAUGUGUCCCCGGUGGGCACCUCAGCCUUCAAAGCUGGUGAAUGGCAGUAAUGUCAUUGGUGGGUUCGACUCCCACGCGUUUCCGCCA